CCUACGGGGGACAGCAGUGGGGAAUAUUGGGCAAUGGGCGCAAGUCUGACCCAGCCACGCCGCGUGAAGGAUGACUGCUCUCGGGUUGUAAACUUCUUUUUAUAUGGAAGUGCAGAAGACGGUAUCUCUUGAUUAAUCCACAGCUAACUACUUGCCAUCAGCCGCGGUCAUACGUAGGUGGCCAGCGUUGUCCGGAAUUACUGGGUGUAAAGGGCGUGCAGCCGGGAAGAGAAGUCAGAUGUGAAAGCUCGCGGCUCAACCGCGGAACUGCAGUUGACACUGGGUGUCUUGAGUGCCGGAGAGGUCAGCGGAAUUCGUGGUGUAGCGGUGAAAUGCGUAGAUAUAAGGAAGAACACCAGUGGCGAAGGCGGAUGACUGGACGGCAACUGACGGUGAGGCGCGAAAGCGUGGGGAGCAAACAGGAUUAGAUACCCGAGUAGUC
rnacentral:rRNA from 1 species